AUGACAAACGUUGUUACACUUUUUUAAAUAUACGAAAUUCAAGGCAAGUCCCUAGGGUAUCUUCUGUUAGUCCAGCUUGAUCUUUGCGUCUAAAAUGCGCAACUGACAUCCAUCCAAACAUUGCCUGUGAUGUGGCCAGGUCCCUUACAGAGAUGCAUGGAUUGUCUCCGAGGGCUGCAAGCAGAGUGCCAUCUGAAUUGGAGUUAUCUACCGCCUAAGCUGGCUCUGGGGCGAGUCUCUGCAUCUGAGUCUCGUCUGACUCUUGUGUAAAAUAGACAUGACCCACCUCACUGGGCCAUGGAGAGCAGCAGCAGGAUCAAUCUUGGGACAAACUGAUACCAUGUACCUCUUGACUGAUGGAAUGAUAAGGAUAUAUAAUCUACAAUACAUUCUUGCCACGAAAACUGAACUCCACCUAAUCAUGAAGAAAUAGAUGAAUUCAGAUGUUGGGACAUUUUACAAGAUCAACUACCUGGAUUUUCUUAUGGAAGAAAAAAAAAGCUGGGAGACUGAUCUAGAUUAAAGGAGACCAAAAAAAAAAAAAAGAUAUAAUAGCUAAAUGCAACUAAAUGCAAUCCGUUAGCAACUAAAUGCAACUCAUUAUCCUUAACUGGAUCAAACACAAAACAAAAGCUUAUAAAGGACGUUAUUGAGACAACUAGGGACAUUUAUUUAUUUAUUAUUUUUGU